UAGGGAAUCUUCCGCAAUGGACGCAAGUCUGACGGAGCAACGCCGCGUGAGUGAAGAAGGAUUUCGGUUCGUAAAACUCUGUUGUUAGAGAAGAACAGCGCAUAGAGUAACUGUUAUGCGUGUGACGGUAUCUAACCAGAAAGCCACGGCUAACUACGUGCCAGCAGCCGCGGUAAUACGUAGGUGGCAAGCGUUGUCCGGAUUUAUUGGGCGUAAAGCGAGCGCAGGCGGUCAAUUAAGUCUGAUGUGAAAGCCCCCGGCUCAACCGGGGAGGGUCAUUGGAAACUGGUUGACUUGAGUGCAGAAGAGGAGAGUGGAAUUCCAUGUGUAGCGGUGAAAUGCGUAGAUAUAUGGAGGAACAUCAGUGGCGAAGGCGACUAUCUGGUCUGUAACUGACGCUGAGGCUCGAAAGCGUGGGUAGCAAACAGG
rnacentral:rRNA from 1 species